GUGUCAGCAGCCGCGGUAAUACGUAGGUGGCAAGCGUUGUCCGGAAUUACUGGGUGUAAAGGGCGUGUAGGCGGGAAUGUAAGUCAGAUGUGAAAUCCCAGAGCUUAACUCUGGAGCUGCAUCUGAAACUAUGUUUCUUGAGUGUCGGAGAGGAAAGCGGAAUUCCUAGUGUAGCGGUGAAAUGCGUAGAUAUUAGGAGGAACACCAGUGGCGAAGGCGGCUUUCUGGACGAUAACUGACGCUGAGGCGCGAAAGCGUGGGGAGCAAACAGGAUUAGAAACCCGGGUAGUCC
rnacentral:rRNA from 1 species